GGGGCUGCAUAAAUUCUGGCAAGAGAAACUGGCUGUGUUGAACUAGAGUGGAAGAUUAUAGAGAGAAAAAGCUACAUACAGAGUAAAUUGCUUCUCACUGACAAGAGGGCAAGAAUGUGUAUUGUCUGUGACCAAAUUUGAAACACAUGUGAAGGUGAUUGCUUGGCGCCAUUUUGAAUUUUGCCCAAGCAUAAUUGAAUUUACCUGGGUUCAUGGUAGGUCCCAGUGGAGAGUCUGUGGGCUGGAAUAGUCCAAUGCCCAGGAACUGAGGGUAGAAACUGUAAGUUGACAGCCAGAGAAAAUGCAUCAUGCAAAAACAAGUUGAAAGGCCUCAGCAGUUAUCUCUGAGGAACCUAUGUAUUUGCCUCAUAAGAUGAAGAAUUCAUCACAUCCAUAAUGCACCAAGAUCAGCUAGCGUCUUUUACCAGUUGUGAUGGUUAAUUUUAUGUGUCAAUUUGACUGGGCCCAUACAUUUGGUCAUACAUGAUUCUAGGUGUAUCUGUGAGAGUGUUUUGGAUGAGAUUAAUAUUGGAAUCCCUAGAUGGAAUAAAGAAGAUGGCCCUCCCUAACGUGGGUGAGUCCCAUCCAAUCAGUUGAACACCUGAAUAAAAUAAAAAUACUAACCCUCCUGUGAGUAAGAGGGAAUUCGUCCUGCCUGAUUGCCUUCAAAUGGGGACAUUAAUUUUUUCCUGUCUUCAGACUUGAACUGAAGCAUCAGCUCUUCCUUGUCUUGGGCCUACUGGCCUUCAGACUGGAAAUACAUCAUCAGCUCUCCUGGGUAUCCUGCAGAUCUUGAGACUUGUCAUACUCCAUAAUUAGAAAUCAAUGGCCCCAGGAGGUUAUCUAUACCAGCCUACUGUCUGCAACAUCAGUGGGAGCUUAUUUGGCAUUUGAUACCAAUCCCAGAAGAGGAUAUGAAUCCCUGAGUGCAUUUCCCAAUGGCACACGCUCGCUUCUUGUUUUCUUGAAGCAUUCUGGAAGAGGAGUAGGGAUUGAAAGGCCAAAUAUGUCUGAACAUCUAGGCAACCUGGGUCUCCAGCUCAUGAGAAAGAUAUCAAGACCUGGAUCCCAGUGAUGGAUACAUGAGACAAAGAUUAGGGAAUGCUGAAGAUGUGUUCCCAUGAGUUCCUGCCUCCUUGUACCCCACUGAGUGGAAUGUUAAAAAUACGGAGAAAGCAAUUUCUACAGAUGCAGUCCCACCUCUGGCCAUGGCCAAAAUUAGCUGGAUAAUUCUUUGAAUCUGGCUAAUGUGGAAUCUUGCAAGGACAAAGAGGAUUUGCUCACGAACUGGGAAGAAUUAUCAUACCAAAUCAAUGAGGAUAUUUGCUGCCAAAGGCUUAGGCAUGGAGGCCAACUGGAUUCUCAUCCAUGACCCUGAUAGGACAUCCUGAACCCCAUUUAUGUUGUUUUAAGAGUGAUUCCAUAACCUCAAGAGAUCCUAGCCUGAUCUUGGCAGCCCUAUAUCCGGAGCUGGGAUGAGCUUUACAGCUACCUAUAGAAUGAGAAGGAAAAGACUCUGAAAGACCUUUCUGACAAAAGCUAUCAUCCUCCAUGAAAGUCCUGGUCAAGAGGCUGGCUAGUUAUUGAUCAGAAUGUGGACAGGCCCUGAAGAGAAAGGGGCUAUGUGACUUGAUAGCACACUUUUCCCACAUGUAAGAAUAUUGUUUUGUUUAUAUUCCCUCUUCACUCUACUCCCUGCACCCACCCCCACUUGCCCCAAAAAUUAAUUUUUUUUUUUCUGCAGACUUGAUUUCUUGUCUCCUUACAUCAGCACUGAAAAUAUCCUGGGCUUCUUUGACAGCAAGAUGUCUAAAUGCUUCCUGACAAUUCAUGGUUUAAUACCCUUCCCUCUUUACCUCUGAUUGUGUCAUUAUUUCCUCUACAUCUUCAAUUACACCUCCUCAUAGGACUGGCUUAUUGUCUCCCUCAUUAUAGAGACAUCUCUGUUUCCAGGACCUUUUAGA
ensembl:lncRNA novel transcript